rnacentral:misc_RNA from 1 species
GAUGAAGAACGUAGCGAAAUGCGAUAAGUAAUGUGAAUUGCAGAAUUCAGUGAAUCAUCGAAUCUUUGAACGCACCUUGCACUCCUUGGUAUUCCGAGGAGUACGCCUGUUCGAGUGUUAUGAAGCUCUCAAAACGCAAUUGGCUUAAAACCUGAUUGUUGUUUUGGAUUUGAACUUUGCCGUGUUAUAACGGCUGGUUUUAAAAGUUUUAGCUGGUACUAGAACGAAUUGGUUCUACUCAACGUGAUAAUUAUCUGAUCGUUGAGGACAUUCCUUUCACGAGGAAUGGCCAUAGUAAAUUCAAUGGACUGCUUCUAAUCUGGCUUUAAUUCUUUAUUGGAUUAACUACUUUUCAAAUCUGACCUCGAAUCAGGUGGGACUACCCGCUGAACUUAAGCAUAUCAAUAAGCGGAGGA